rnacentral:rRNA from 1 species
AACGGCUACCACAUCCAAGGAAGGCAGCAGGCGCGCAAAUUACCCACUCCCGGCACGGGGAGGUAGUGACGAAAAAUAACGAUACGGGACUCAUCCGAGGCCCCGUAAUCGGAAUGAGAACAAUUUAAAUCCUUUAACGAGGAUCAAUUGGAGGGCAAGUCUGGUGCCAGCAGCCGCGGUAAUUCCAGCUCCAAUAGCGUAUAUUAAAGUUGUUGCGGUUAAAAAGCUCGUAGUCGAAUCUGUGUCCCGCGCCGCCGGUUCGUCGCUCGCGGCGUUUAACUGGCGUGUCCGCGGGACGUCCUGCCGGUGGGCUUAGCCUUUUCAUUAAGGCGGCCCAAUCUUAAUCCCGCCGCGGUGCUCUUCACCGAGUGUCGAGGCGGGCCGGCACGUUUACUUUGAACAAAUUAGAGUGCUUAAAGCAGGCUAAAACUUCGCCUGAAUACUUCGUGCAUGGAAUAAUGGAAUAGGACCUCGGUUCUAUUUUGUUGGUUUUCGGAACCCCGAGGUAAUGAUUAAUAGGAACGGAUGGGGGCAUUCGUAUUGCGACGUUAGAGGUGAAAUUCUUGGAUCGUCGCAAGACGGACAGAAGCGAAAGCAUUUGCCAAAAACGUUUUCAUUGAUCAAGAACGAAAGUUAGAGGUUCGAAGGCGAUCAGAUACCGCCCUAGUUCUAACCAUAAACGAUGCCAGCUAGCGAUCCGCCGACGUUCCUCCGAUGACUCGGCGGGCAGCUUCCGGGAAACCAAAGCUUUUGGGUUCCGGGGGAAGUAUGGUUGCAAAGCUGAAACUUAAAGGAAUUGACGGAAGGGCACCACCAGGAGUGGAGCCUGCGGCUUAAUUUGACUCAACACGGGAAACCUCACCAGGCCCGGACACCGGAAGGAUUGACAGAUUGAGAGCUCUUUCUUGAUUCGGUGGGUGGUGGUGCAUGGCCGUUCUUAGUUGGUGGAGCGAUUUGUCUGGUUAAUUCCGAUAACGAACGAGACUCA